ACCCUGGAUGAGAAGAAAGAAGCAAUAUUCAAAUGUAUGAUGGCCUACAUUUUUGACCCAUCGGAGACUCACGUGAAAAAAGAAAAGCAGAAUUUCGCGUUGGCAUCAGCAUCUACUAUAUAGUAGGCACUCUGUUCCAUGUCUCACCCUCUGAACAACCAGCCUGAAGCGAUCUGGUUUAAUUAAGGGUACCAAGGAAACUAUGAAGAAACCAGCCAACAUCUAUAAAUAAAUCUCGUCGUAGGAGAUUCAGCGAGGCACAAAAGCACGGCAGUGGUCCAUAUCAGACGCUCGCUCGAUAUCUAUCUAGUUGGAAUAGAAAAGAAAGUGCCAAACAAGAAGCACCAUCAGGAGUUCAGAGGGGGCCUCUUUUGGAGGCUGCAGCAAGAUGAGGGAAGUUCAAAGAGAAGAGGAGGUGGUCUUGCUGGGUCCUGAAGCAAACCUGUGACGAAGGUCACAGGAGCGAGAAGAAAGGGGGAUCCAGGAAUCAAAGCUCAGCUGGGCCUGCCGAUGCCCGUCAAUACUGAGAGGUCGCUGUGAGAGGCAAAUCAGAGGGGUGAAUGCCAAAUAAGGAAUUCCAAACGUGCUCAUUUACUCAA